rnacentral:rRNA from 1 species
GAUGAACGCUGGCGGCGUGCUUAACACAUGCAAGUCGAACGGAAAGGCCCAAGCUUGCUUGGGUACUCGAGUGGCGAACGGGUGAGUAACACGUGGGUGAUCUGCCCUGCACUUCGGGAUAAGCCUGGGAAACUGGGUCUAAUACCGGAUAGGACCACUUCUUGGAUGUUGUGGUGGAAAGUUUUUUCGGUGUGGGAUGAGCUCGCGGCCUAUCAGCUUGUUGGUGGGGUAAUGGCCUACCAAGGCGUCGACGGGUAGCCGGCCUGAGAGGGUGUACGGCCACAGUGGGACUGAGAUACGGCCCAGACUCCUACGGGAGGCAGCAGUGGGGAAUAUUGCACAAUGGGCGCAAGCCUGAUGCAGCGACGCCGCGUGGGGGAUGACGGACUUCGGGUUGUAAACUCCUUUCGCUAGGGACGAAGCGUUUUGUGACGGUACCUGGAGAAGAAGCACCGGCUAACUACGUG